UACGUAGGGGGCAAGCGUUGUCCGGAAUCAUUGGGCGUAAAGCGCGUGUAGGCGGCCAGAUAAGUCCGUUCUGAAAGCCCGGGGCUCAACCCCGGGAGGCGGAUGGAUACUGUUUGGCUCGAGUCCGGAAGAGGCGAGUGGAAUUCCCGGUGUAGCGGUGAAAUGCGCAGAUAUCGGGAGGAACACCAAUGGCGAAGGCAGCUCGCUGGGACGGUACUGACACUGAGGCGCGAAAGCGUGGGGAGCGAACAGG
rnacentral:rRNA from 1 species